rfam:Pseudomonas fuscovaginae strain IRRI 6609 Pf_IRRI_6609_contig_11.11, whole genome shotgun sequence.
GGCGCAAAGCUUGCAGAAAAAACCGGAACAACGACCGCCAACGCAGGCGGUUGACCUCACGACAAAGGCGCCGU